rnacentral:tRNA from 1 species
GGCACUUUGGCCGAGUGGUCUAAGGCGCCGUGUUCAGGUUGCAGCCGAGUCUUCGGCUGGCCCGUUUCGCGGUCUAGUAAUAGGCGAGGGUUCGAAUCCCUCAGGUGUCA